UCCGAUUUUCGCAAAACUCGG
rnacentral:piRNA from 1 species